rnacentral:lncRNA from 1 species
GGCUCCGUUUCGCUAGUCACGUUUCCCGGAUGCCUUUUUCUCCUGCAUCUCUUAUUGAAACCCUCCCAAUUCUCCAUCCCGGACAAUCGAUUCGAUAGAAGCAGGAUGGGUGCGAAGAUGGGAUCGGGGAGGUCGGAAUGGCGGUCGUCAGGUCCUCGCGCGGAGCCAUCACGACAAGGCCGUAUUCAUUCGCCCUCAUCUCCACAGGCACCAGCGCCAUCUCCGGUGAUCCUCCAACUGUUUGCUUGUUCCCUUCUCUUUUGUCUGUUUCCUCCAAUUUUUAGAUCGAAGCCCGAGCUUCCAAUUCGGUUUAGAUUAGGUUCGAGUUUGGUGUUAGAUGAUAAUAAUAACAUGAAAAAGAUUCUUUCUUGAUGGGCGAGGGUUUCUGGGUGGUAGUCUUCCAGAGAAAGAUAGGACUUCGAUGAACUCAGGAAUCGUGAUCCAACUUUUGUUGCUUCGAUUUAAAUGGGUAAGAGGUGGGAAUUGAUGGAUGCAACGAGCUGGAGGAUGCUUACCCAUGGGGGAUUUGAUUUGCUAUUGGUUAAUGUCCUGGAUCUCAAUGAGCCCGAGGAAGAGACUUUUCAUACUCCAGAGCAAGUAUGUUUCUUUCCCAUCAGAAAGUGUGGUUCUUUCUCUAUUUGCUAAGUCUUCUUUUUCUUUAGCAUCAAGAACUACUUUACCUUUACAUAGGUAUAAGAAUCUUAAGGGCCUGGUUGAAAAUUGAGGGGCUCUUCAUUGGCAUAUAGGUACGAGUUGCUGUCGCUUGUUGUUCCUUCAGGUACUAUUCUAUUAUCAUUUGAUUAGAAUCAAACUCUGUGGAUCUAGUCCUUUGCAUCUGUUCUGUUAAAGCACAAAAAGAAGAUAUAGUUUAAACCAUGCUGAUUCCACCAAGACAAGUGUGGAAGCUUUUCUACAAAAGGAUUUUAACUCAUUUUAGUGGGGUGUAAAUGGUGAGUAUCACACGAACAGAGAGUAACAAUUCUGCAGUUAAUAAAUAAUAUUCCAAGCAUAGUGAAUGAUUUAAAUGUUGAGUUGCCUGUGAUAGGACUGGCUUAUUAUAUAUAGCAUUUGGACAAGUGAUUAUCCAGUGGUGUGGUCCUAUGGACCAUAUCGAAUGACAUGCUUGUCUGUAAUGAUACAGACUCCAUAUGUCAGCGAAACUGAUGGCACCUAUGUUCUAUUCUCUUGGAAAUCUGGGGCAGAAGUGGAAAGAAACUUUUCUAGGCAAGUUAUUGGAUCCAUAAAUCCUGGCAAUUUAUUGCUCAUUUGUUAUGACAUGUCAAUUCUAUUACACUCUCCUUUUGCAAAAACAAGAUGUCAAGUACAUCAUCAAUAUGGUCAGGAUAUGUUGCUAUCUGUUGAAUAAAACAGGAGCAACUAGUUUUGCUCUCCCACUGUAAAUUAGUGGUUCUUUAAAAUAGUGAGGAAACAAAGAGUUAAACAGAAAAUUAACUUGCACAUGGAUUACAAAUCUAAACUAGUUUACCAUUAACCUGAGCUAUUAACUGAAACAUAGCAAAGAGUUGACUUGCAUGGUGACUGGCAUCAAAGGCUAAUAUGUAAAUAAAAACGAUUAGCGCCAAUUUAACAAACUGAAGCUAUAUUUUAAUUGUUCAAAUCAACUUAGCUCAAACUGCCAAUAGGUUCAUCAACACGGUACAGUUGGGGGGUCAUGAAAAGGUAUAAUGAAGAAAAUCAUGGCAAUUGAAGAAUAUUGAGGAUGUACUUAAUGUGAUUUCUCAUAAUCUGAUUGAGAUAUUUAUCCUUUUCUAUCUCUACAUGUUUAUAAGGUUAGUUUAGGAUGAACCUUGCUGCCUCACAAGUCGUAAAAUGCGGAUGGACCUGGAAAUGAUUUCUUCACACGAAGCAGCGGUAGGCUGUUGCAGAAGACAGCAAGCACCCCCUGGAGAAGGAAGAGGAAUGAUUAGACAAAGAAGAUCAAAGAAGAGGAGGUUAGAAGUUGGAAGAAGCAGAGGAGAUGAAGAGGGGCACCUGAAACUUUGUGAUUCUUUUCCUCUUUAAGCAUUUUGAACCUGUCAUUUCCUUAUAUUGAUGUGGAGGCAGAUAAUCCCUCUGAGCCUUGAUGACACCUGUAUUGUCUAGUUUAUGAGACCUAGCUUAAUUAAACAACUUCCUUUGUUUCGCUUGCUUUUUUUUUUUCUCACUUUUGCAAGCAACUUCUGAUCCAAUGAUUCUUGACCAUGUUGUGGUAAUGGACAAACUUGGAAACAAAUUAUAUGUAAUUCCUAGAGCUAGUUAUGAGGAUGGAAUAAACAGAUUUUAAUGAGUCUUUAAAUUAGUUGAGCUCCCACUUUUAACUCAGUGUGUCUCCCUUUCGUUUCGUCAUAUAUGUCAAUGAUACUUUCAGAUCCUGCAUGUAUGUUAUGAUGUUAACGAACAGAUGUGCUUGUGGAAUUAAGACUCUAUGGAUUAUGAAGUAUUGGGACAUCAAUUGGUUUCAGUCUUAUUUUUUCUUGCAACUUUUUCCAGGUAAUGAGAUACACGAGGCAAAGCUUGUUAAAUGUACUCGUAGUUUGAUUAUAGUAGUUUUGAGUGCUUGUUAUAAUUGAACAAUAGGACUCUUUCAAGUGCUGGAUUGAGAUUCCAGCUCACUUGUUCUGUUACAUUACAUCUGGUUUGUUGCUCCGUAUGCAUUUGCAACCCUUUGUUCGAGGUUCAAAAACCUAGUUUUACACAUCCGGUUCACCUGCGCAUGUCAAGUUUUUCUUAAAGCAGUCCUCCACUUUAAGCUUUUCAUUUUGUGGAUUGGCAUGUCCAUCUUCAACUUCUCUAGUUCUGCACUUUACGUUAGAGAUGAUAUUUGGUAGCUUUCAAUGUUUGUACAGUGGUUUAAUGAUCAUGCAGCAUUUUGCUGGAUAUGGAUACAUUUUUCCAGCUCUCUGUUUUGUCUUUAAACAACUUGUUUAGUUCUUGCUUUUCCUCUACAUGGCUGGUUGGUGUCGGAUGGAUGAUUUUGUUGUUGAAUGUGGCUUAGUAAAGCAGUCUUUUAGUUUAGUUCCAAGAACAACACAAUACAUAGAUACUGCACAACCCAUAACCUCUUUUAGGAAACAGGAUAGAGUAGCAAAUAGUAUGGCAGUUAUCAAAACUGAAUCGAAAGUCAAGCUUCGGUUCAUCGAUGAAUCAAUCGGUCAGAUCAUCGAUGAAUUUUUUAGAUAUAUAUUAUUGUCUGUUUUGGCAUAUGUUAAGGGUGCUAAUAACUUAGUUGUUUUGUGUAAUUAGUCAGAUGAUUUUUGUUUGGAUAAUUGAUCAUUUUGAUGAGACGGAAUGAGCCAGUGGUUGAUAGCUAGGAGUAGUACUACAACCAGUUGAAUUGGAAUCACAAUUAAAACUGCAACAAAGCGGAUUGUACCUCCUCCUAUUGUCUGUAAUUAAUUAUUACCAAUGUUAGCAGUGAUUGUAAAAUGGUGCAGCAUCUACUUCCAUUUCCAAGCUUGAGAGAGCAUCUCAUGAUUCAAUCUAGUAUUUACACUGUUUUAAGUGGUCCAUUCCCUAUUGCAGUCGCAGUAUCCUGAUUCCCUGUUUCCAGCUCUAGAUAUAUUACUACUUCAAUAAUGCCCUUCGAUGAACGCAUCAUUUGUUUCUGUCUUCUCUCUUUCUUCUUCUUUGUUCCAUGUCUUGUGCAGACAAGCUCUUUCAUCAUUAUAUUUUUUUCUGUGCUUACUUUAGGAAUUUGAAAUAUUAGCUAUUGCGCAAAGCCUUGUGAUAUGAACAGAGCUGCUAAUUAGUCUUACAACUACUUGGAAACCAAGAAGAAAAUACAGUGAAAGGAUCAGAAAAAGAUGGUGUUUUUUUUCUUCUUCUUUUUGGCUGCUUCGCUGACUUACGUUGGCUGAUGACCGACAGCGAGUCUCCUUCAUGAAAGCCCACCGAAUCUACUCUUCUCCAGUAGCAGACCCAACUCCAUCGCGUUC